UACGUAGGGUGCAAGCGUUGUCCGGAAUUAUUGGGCGUAAAGAGCGUGUAGGCGGCUUGAUAAGUCUGCUGUGAAAGUCCAGGCUCAACCCUGGGAUGCCGGUGGAUACUGUCGAGCUCGAGUCCGGAAGAGGCGAGUGGAAUUCCUGGUGUAGCGGUGAAAUGCGCAGAUAUCAGGAGGAACACCAAUGGCGAAGGCAGCUCGCUGGGACGUGACUGACGCUGAGACGCGAAAGCGUGGGGAGCAAACAGG
rnacentral:rRNA from 1 species